rnacentral:rRNA from 1 species
AUUGAACGCUGGCGGCAGGCCUAACACAUGCAAGUCGAACGGUAGCACAGAGAGCUUGCUCUCGGGUGACGAGUGGCGGACGGGUGAGUAACGUCUGGGAAACUGCCCGAUGGAGGGGGAUAACUACUGGAAACGGUAGCUAAUACCGCAUAACGUCGCAAGACCAAAGUGGGGGACCUUCGGGCCUCACACCAUCGGAUGUGCCCAGAUGGGAUUAGCUAGUUGGUGAGGUAAUGGCUCACCAAGGCGACGAUCCCUAGCUGGUUUGAGAGGAUGAUCAGCCACACUGGAACUGAGACAUGGUCCAGACUCCUACGGGAGGCAGCAGUGGGGAAUAUUGGACAAUGGGCGAAAGCCUGAUCCAGCCAUGCCGCGUGUGUGAAGAAGGCCUUCGGGUUGUAAAGCACUUUCAGUAGGGAGGAAGAGUUGAGUGUUAAUAGUACACAGCUUUGACGUUACUCGCAGAAGAAGCACCGGCUAACUCUGUGCCAGCAGCCGCAGUAA